rnacentral:rRNA from 1 species
AGGGUGACAGGUGGUGGCAUGGUUGUCGUCAGCUCGUGUCGUGAGAUGUUGGUUAAGUCCCGCAACGAGCGCAACCCUCGACCUUAGUUGCCAGCAUUCAGUUGGGCACUCUAAGGUGACUGCCGGCUAAAAGUCGGAGGAAGGUGGGGAUGACGUCAAAUCAUCAUGCCCCUUAUGACCUGGGCUACACACGUGCUACAAUGGGCGGUACAAAGGGUCGCGAACCCGCGAGGGGGAGCCAAUCCCAAAAAGCCGCUCUCAGUUCGGAUUGCAGGCUGCAACUCGCCUGCAUGAAGCCGGAAUCGCUAGUAAUCGCGGAUCAGCAUGCCGCGGUGAAUACGUUCCCGGGCCUU